UUUAUUUCAUCAUGGUUUUUACUGUUUUUCUUUGUGAAAGUAUUUGGAUAAAGAAGGUAGCAGUUGCUUCCCAUGAUGAACACGUCAGCAACGCCGACCUUCUCUCAUCCAUCUGACGCGUCACAUUCACUGCUCUCUCCAUUCCCUUGUUCCACGAGUUAAAGAUAAUUUAAAAAAUAUAUAUAUAUAGUCAGUACUGUCCUGGCAAAAUGGAACAAAUAACUCGUUUUCUAAUGGAAAAGUAAUGGGAAGAUCAAAUGAACUUAUUAUCUCCAAACUGAUAAAUAUUUGGUCUUAUAGUUUAUCCAAAAUAAAUAAAUAAAUAAAUAUUUGGUCUUGGACAUUUACUGAUCAUGAGUUUUAGGUUUUCUGUUUUUUUUUUAUUUAAAUAUAAAAUCAUACUUAAUUUGUCCAUGCAAGAAGAAACCGACUUUUAUAAGAUGUUGGGUGGUUUUAGAUUUUUAAUUUUUUAUUUAAGAAAAAAAAAUUAUCUAUAAAACAAUCUUUGGAUUUGGUUCUCCGUCUGCUCAGCAACGUUGAUUUUGCUUUACAACCCAAAAAUAGAAUAACAAAACUUUUAUUACUUGGGAAAGAUAAUACACAUAUCAUUUAAAGAAUGCCUGAGUUCUGAGUAAUCCACACUCCAGGAAUACUUGAAAUUUUUUCCUCCCACAUCCUUUUCUUCCUUUCCCUUUUUCUUUUCCUCUGCUUCCACCGUUCCACCUUUCUUCAUUACCUCUUCUCCUUUGUCUUCUUUGUCUCUUUUUUUUUUUUUCAUUUUUUUAAAUAAAAUCUGGCAGUGGAUUGGAUUUGGGAUUGUCAGAGACAAGGCUAGGGUGGUGGCCCAAUUUUGGGACCGCCCUAGCCUUGGGAUCCUAGGCGGUGGGUUUCAGAAUCUUGGGCGGUGGGUUUCGAAAGGUCUAGGACGUCGCCAAUAUUUUAUUUAAGAAAAAAAAAAAGGAGAGAGAUAGAGGAGACAUAGGAGAAGAGGAAAUAAAGAAAGAUGGAAUGGUAGAAGCAGAAUGGAAGAGGAAGGGAAGGCUGUGGAAGAAGUUCUCAGCACGUGGGAAUGAAUUUUUGAGAGGAAAUUUGUGACUUUAAUCUGCACCAUUGGUUUUAAUCAAACGAUCAAGAUUAAAAUUAUGUUUUUGGACCAGAAGAGUUAAGGACCGUCCGGAUGGAGUUGCGUGCAGGCCAGGAGCAGAGCUGAUGUUUUUAGAAAAGUCGAUGUUUUUUUUUCAUGUAGCGUCGGUUUUUCUCUGGUUCGCAUGCGAUUCUAUUCGAAUGAUCCUGACCGUAGAAGGACUCUGUACUUAUAUAUAUAAAAAGACAAUUUAAGCAACCCUGGCUUCUUUUGUGGCUAUCUCUUUCCUAACAUGGUCAUCUAAAUUCAACCAAAAACUUCAAUGAACUCUGGCAAUUUACGUGUA